rnacentral:rRNA from 1 species
GAGUGAACGCUGGCGGUAGGCCUAACACAUGCAAAUCGAACGGCAGCACAGUAAGAGCUUGCUCUUACGGGUGGCGAGUGGCGGACGGGUGAGGAAUACAUCGGAAUCUACUUUUUCGUGGGGGAUAACGUAGGGAAACUUACGCUAAUACCGCAUACGACCUACGGGUGAAAGCAGGGGAUCUUCGGACCUUGCGCGAUUGAAUGAGCCGAUGUCGGAUUAGCUAGUUGGCGGGGUAAAGGCCCACCAAGGCGACGAUCCGUAGCUGGUCUGAGAGGAUGAUCAGCCACACUGGAACUGAGACACGGUCCAGACUCCUACGGGAGGCAGCAGUGGGGAAUAUUGGACAAUGGGCGCAAGCCUGAUCCAGCCAUACCGCGUGGGUGAAGAAGGCCUUCGGGUUGUAAAGCCCUUUUGUUGGGAAAGAAAAGCAGCAGGUUAAUACCCCGCUGUUCUGACGGUACCCAAAGAAUAAGCACCGGCUAACUUCGUG